UUUGUGCCUUUGCCCAAAUUAUCAUGUGGCACAAACAAGGCAGCUGCUUCUGAAGAUGGUGAUGCAAUGCUUGGAAUGUCGCAGAACAAGGAGAGGGUCUCUUCUUAUCAGCAAUGCCUUGUGCUGCCAAGAUGAAGAUAUCGCAUUAAAACCAGGAGCUAACUCUCCCUCCCCUUUGAGAGUCCACUUCAAAGAACGAGUGACUUUGCAUGGCAGUUCUCAAAAAGUGGGAUCCUGCUUCUGGGUUCCAGGGAAUUGUGUGUGUGCAGCUCCAUGUGGCCUCAGCACAUCAGUUUUGUUCUCUGGAUAUGGAUGACUCAGGAUGGCCUGCUAUUUGAACUGUGGGCUUAUUAUUUAAGGUAUAUUGAAUAUAUACGUGACAAAGACAGAGACAGAAGCAGAGAAAGAGAUAGAGACAGAUAUGCAGUGCUGGGGAUUUUGCACAUGCUAGGUAAGUUCUCUACCACUGAGCUACAUACCCACUGCACUUGUAAUUCAGUUUUGACAUUAAGGCAGUAUUUCAGAAUAAAAUAUACACAUUAAAAGAAAAAUGAAGCCAGAAACCUGAAACUCAACACUGGUUUCCAAGCAAACCCGUAUUAGAAUCUAUAUUAAGUGUUAGGUCAUUAUAUACUACUGUUCUUCAUGUGAUAUGUUUUACUCAAAAUACAUUAUGUACCAGAUGCACUGAAAUUGACUUGGUAUUUUAUUAAGUACGUUUUGCUUGCUAUUAACUAUGGUGAUGCUUGCUAUGCACUCCUCAGUUAUGGCAUCAAAAUACUGCAGACAUACUAAUGUGAGUGGAAACAAAUAUGCAUCUGAGUGUCAGCAAUAGACCCUCUGGAGAGAGUCACUUGACAAUUUUUUUAGUGGUGUUAACAUUUAUUGUGAUCUUCUAUCAUAGUUUAUAUUUUCCCUGGAACAGACUCUGAGCUAAGGAUUUGGGCACAAGUGGUUUAUUAAGGAAGAUCUCCUGGGAAAACUGGUAAAGAGCUGAGAGAGUCAGGACAGAGAAGAGGAACAAGCCAAGCUAGUGCUUGCUACUGUUUUACACACAGCUCAAGACCUGGCAGGACUCAAGUGUGUAUAGCCCCAGGCUCUUCAAGUUCUCCCAGUAGAUGAGGCAGGUCCAUUGUAUAGGGCAAUCAACCAAAGAAUAAGAAACAGAAUCUAGGAGGCUGACACACAGAUGGCCAGUGACAUUCAAGGGGAACUGAGUGGGACACCAAGCUAUGUGUUAUAUGAUUUACUUCUCAUCCUUUCCUCUACAGUAAUAACAAAAACCUUAUCAGUGUAAUUUUACUAGGAUACCAGACAGCAGAAACUCAGAAAAUAUGGCUGGGUCAGCCAUGAUACAGUAAACUAAUCCAGAAGUGAAGCAGAUCUGUAAUGUAUUACAGAUUGUCAUGUCAGGGUAUUUCUUAUAAUUAAAUUAGAAUCUAUGGCUCUGAACACCAGAAAAAUAAUAAAUCUGUCAAAAAGUGGUAGCGAAAGAUUGAGUCUAACAGGGAGAUCAGAUUUCUAGUGGUGAUGUUUCUGACCUCAGUCUUUUCGGUAGAUGUUGAAUUAUUUGAAGAACCAAAAGGCAUCUGAAGUUUAUAAGACUGACUUCAACAUAAUUCUUCUAUUUCCUCCCCCAUUUCUUUUCAGAAAAUGCCCACUUGUGUCAGUUGAAGCUGUACAGUUUAAAUUGCAAACAGGAUAUUGGAUAAGUUAGUUCACUUCUCUUAACCUUGAUGUUUUUGUUGCAAGCCAGCAAAGAGAUAUUGCAACUUAAUUUAUAGUUUCUGUUAGGAUUGGAUGAAUAAAGAAAGUAUUAAAAAGGAUAUGGCUUACCAUAGCUGCUCAUGAAAAUACUGAUUAGUAAUAUUAGUAAAAGUGUCAAAAAGUGAAAUCUAUGUGGCCACUUGCUGAACUACCAUUGUUGGAUAAUAAAGUCCACCAGCAAUUGACAAUGUGAAGCAAUCAUUUUAUCAUGCUCACAAAUUCCGUAGGUCAAGAAUCGAGACAGCACAAUAGGAAUGGGAUUCCUUAUGCUCCACAUUACUGGUGCCUCAGGUAGAAACACUAGAUUAUUGGCAGAACUCAAACACGGGAGCUGGAAUUCUCCAGGUAACUUCACUUGCUCUUGUAACAGACACUGCCUGUCUCGUGGAGGUCUGUUGGGGCUGCCAUCUGGAAUAAAUCACACAACCUCUUCAUGUGGUCUGUGCUUCCUCACAGCAUGGUAGGUUCAAGACAGCCAGGCUUCCAACAUGGCAGCUCAGGGCUCACAGGAAUGUAUCUCAGGCAGAAGCCUGGCUUUCUAUUUCAUGCUACGGUGACUGUAGUUAGUAGUAAUGUAAAACACAGUAUAUUUUAAGCUAACUAGGAAAGAAAAUUCUGCAUAUUCUUACCACAAAAAUGAAUGCUCAAGGUGACAGAUAUAUUCCAGUUACCCUGAUUUGAUCGCUACAAAAUGUGUACAUGUAUUAAAAUAUACAUUAAAUCUCAUAAAUAUGUACAAUCAUCAUUUGAUAAUUAUAAAUAAAAUAACAGCAAUAAGGCAUAAAAAUCUCUGAAGUACAUCCUCUUUUCUGACCCAAUCACAUAAAGGCCCUUAUAGCUCACACUGUUAUGGAUAAAUUGUGUCCCAAAUGGAAAGGAACUCAAGCCCUGCCUCUCAGUGGAUACAUGUCAGAUCAUAUAAAGCCGUUGUUCCUCAACCAAUAUAACCACAGUAAACUAAAUGCUAGUUAUUUUUCACUAAAACUUAAGGCUAUAUCACCUUUUCUAAUAAGCCAAAGCAAUCAAGGGGACUCCACAACACACAGCCCAGCAUCCUGGAAGACACCUCCACUUUUGCUGACUUCUCUCAGUCUGAAACACACUCAGUCACAGGGCAUUUUACUUACUGAUAGAGUCUUGCUGAACAUAUAGAAUUUCUGCUUCUCCCAAUGAUUUACAGCAGGACAAAACUCCAUAAUACACAGCAGCUCUAAGUGAAAGAUGUGCUUUAAUAAUUUCACUUCCCUGGAAGAUUUUGUGUGAGUGUGUGUGUGUGUGUGUGUGUGUGUGUGUGUGUGUGUGUGUAAAAGAAUACAAAGUUCACUAUUUUUUGCAGAAAAAUACUUUCUAAUGCCAUAUAAAUCAUUGUACAUUGAAAGAUGCAUGCAUAUCCAAUAGAUUUUUAAAAUUGUGAGCAUGAUUAAAGGAAGCUAUAUUGGAUUCUUCAUUGUAGGACAUUUCAGAAUCUUUACUUUGGUAAUGGAAACUGUGAAAUCUCGUGGAUAUAAUCAGCAGCUUAUUCUGAAUGUAGGUAAUAAGAGGCAGAGACAUUGCUUAAUAGAACAAGGUUUGUGAAAUGCCAGGUGAACACAGUGAUACAGAUCAUGAAGAUGACUGAAGAGAAGGGGGAGUCUUUCCAAGUGCAGAGCACUUGUGUCUGCCACUCUUGCACAUUUCUAAUGAGAUCAGGCCUACUAAUUAUGUAACAGGUUACCUGAUUGGUAAAGCUCAUUUAAAGCAAAGCUUGCUCUUUUAUUUUAACUGUGUGUGUGUGUGUGUGUGUGUGUGUGUGUGUUUCAGUAGUUUUCCUGAGAAAUCUGCAGGAUCUACCGUACAAAGAGAUAAAACUCCAUUUGAUGUCAUUCAGUUCCCCACUAUUUUUAUCCCAUAUUAAGUUCAUUUUUAUGUUCUCUGAGUCCCAUUUCCUUUCAUUCAUGCUCUGUUCAAUAUACUAAUAAAAAUGAACAAUGUGCUAAUUAAGAUAGUAGAACAUUUAAAGAACAAUUGGAACCCCACAUACCAAGUGAUACAGGUCACUAUAUUAAUCAUUGACAAUCAUACUAAUUAUCAAACAACAGUGGAAUUCCUAGGAAAAUAUUAUUUUUAAGCUCAUAAUUUUAUAAAAAUACUAUAAAAAUACAAAAUUUGAAAACAGCCUAAAAAUCUCAGACUUGUUUUCUCUUUUCCAUAGUUAUGUGUUUAUUUAAUUGUUUGUGUGUAUGUGUUUAUACAUGUGGUAGCACAAACUGAGAGAAAAAAAGUUAUUCAAUUAAACAUUAGUCUAAUUAUACUGCUCUGAAGCUUGAAAGGAUCUGUGGUAGGUUGAAAAUCCCCUAAGCCUCCACCUCCCUCUAAUUAUACUUUGCGUUAGGUAAGUGUUUAGAGUCCUCCUGCUUCAAAUCUAGAAAGUGUCACGUAGCUUCAUUUAACCAGUAAAUACUGACAUGCAUGCACAAGAUGCUGGAAAGACGGGAAAAUGCUGGGCUUGCUCUUCUCGCCUCGUAUGUCUAUUACCCUCCCCGAGAACAUGCCAAGGUUCUUCUGCAGGUUGAAGUGAGAGAGAGAAACUGGAAGAGAGACUGUGUGUCACCUCUGUGCCUUCAGACAAAACCAAGGCUGGCGGUCAACUGAUCCCUAGACAUGAAUGAGCCUACCUAAUAGCAGCUCAUGCCCAGAUGCCUUACAUAUGUGAAGAGUGCAUGCCACUGUGGCUUUGCAUCAUCAGUACUGACGUUCUGCAAAAGAAAACUGAAACAGGAUCCUUCACAAAGCUUUGACCAGGCCCAUUACUUUCAGCUGAUGAAAUAAAUUCUCCUUAUGAGCUCUGGAUUCAGACAUCAGUUCUUUGUCUAAGUAGCAGCAUGGCAAGAAAUGCAUCGCAAUCUCUAUGAGUUUUUACACUUAUCUUUGGAAAACCCAGAUUACCUUCCACAUUUAUUUAUGAUUAAUAUAUUAAAAUAUCAUAUAUAAAAUUUUUAUUAAAAUAGAAAAUUCUGACCAGCUUGAAAACUUGUAUAAAACGUUGGUUGGAAAUGCUAUAGAUUAGAAAUCUGUGAGGGGGAGAAAUUUAAUGCUUGGCACAUCGCACUUGUUCAGCAAAGAAUAAAUGCUGGUAAGACAAGGACUAUGGUAAAUACCUCCAGAUUAGGAAUGGAUUAAAAAAUAUGGUUUUUAGCCAUAAGGAGGGUAUGCUUGAGACAUUUCUAGGCAACGAGAUGCACCUUGAGAUCAUACUCUUAGGUGAAAUAAAUCAGUCAUGCUUGUGUAAAUAUCACAUUGUUUCUCUGGUGUAAGAAACCAAAAGUGUCAAUAAGAACAAAAGUGUACAAUAUGUUUUAUUAUGCAGAAAGAAAUUGUUCGAAAGAGGAAGUAGGGGGGCCUGGGAAAAGAAGGAAAGAAAAAGGAAAAAAGCCAUAAAAGACGAAUAAAAUGUAAACAGGACUUUGUAAAUGAGAGGGUAAGAGAGGUUGAAGGGAGGGGAGGGAACCUAGAAAAAAGAGAAAUCAAGAUAUAUGCAGGUACAAAUUCCUUAGGAUGAGUAUGAUCAUUAUGUUUAUCUAAAUUAUACCAAUAAACUUAAAGAAAUGUGAAUAUUAAUAAAGCAUUAGAUCUGCAAAGAAAAAAAAUUGAGAGAUCAAAUCUAUGUAACAUUUAUUUCAGUAUAAUUAUCUUUUACUAUUCAUAAAUACUCAUAUUGCAAGUCAUACUGUAAGUUACUGUGCAUUGUAAGUUACAGUGCAUUGUAGAUAUGUAUUAUAGAAAAAUAAAACAUUGUACAGAAAUGGCAUUUGCUGGCUCCAGUUCUCACUUGUCUCCCACAGAUUCAGGAUCUAGCAUAUGACCCUCUCCUAGCAUCUGAUACCCAGGGAUAUAAUAGCUUACCAUUAUAUAUGUCUUAUUCCUGUAUGAAUUUUCACUCCACAUUAAAAAAUAAUCGAUGAUUUCAGUUUUCCAAGCAUUUAAAAUUCAUAUGUAUGAUCAUAUGAAAUUAUUUUUUCUGUGGCAUUUGAAAUAAAAAUGAAAUCCUGAUUUUAAACUCUU